rnacentral:piRNA from 1 species
UACUUCUCUCCCUUUUUAUUCUGAUAUAGC